rnacentral:rRNA from 1 species
UCCUACGGGGGGCAGCAGUGAGGAAUAUUGGUCAAUGGUCGGGAGACUGAACCAGCCAAGCCGCGUGAGGGAUGAAGGUACAGAGUAUCGUAAACCUCUUUUGUCAGGGAACAAAGGCGGGGACGUGUCCCCGGAUGAGUGUACCUGAAGAAAAAGCAUCGGCUAACUCCGUGCCAGCAGCCGCGGUAAUACGGAGGAUGCGAGCGUUAUCCGGAUUUAUUGGGUUUAAAGGGUGCGCAGGCGGUCUGUUAAGUCAGCGGUCAAAACCCGGGGCUCAACCCCGGCCCGCCGUUGAAACUGGCAGU